rnacentral:rRNA from 1 species
GACGAACGCUGGCGGCGUGCCUAAUACAUGCAAGUAGAACGCUGAAGGAGGAGCUUGCUCUUCUGGAUGAGUUGCGAACGGGUGAGUAACGCGUAGGUAACCUGCCUGGUAGCGGGGGAUAACUAUUGGAAACGAUAGCUAAUACCGCAUAACAGUAGAUGUUGCAUGACAUUUACUUAAAAGGUGCAAUUGCAUCACUACCAGAUGGACCUGCGUUGUAUUAGCUAGUUGGUGGGGUAACGGCUCACCAAGGCGACGAUACAUAGCCGACCUGAGAGGGUGAGCGGCGACACUGAGACUGAGACACGGCCCAGACUCCUACGGGAGGCAGCAGUAGGGAAUCUUCGGCAAUGGACGGAAGUCUGACCGAGCAACGCCGCGUGAGUGAAGAAGGUUUUCGGAUCGUGAAGCUCUGUUGUAAGAGAAGAACGAGUGUAAGAGUGGAAAGUUCACACUGUGACGGUAUCUUACCAGAAAGGGACGGCUAACUACGUG